GAUGAACGCUAGCGGCAGGCUUAAUACAUGCAAGUCGAGGGGCAGCGGGGUAGCAAUACCGCCGGCGACCGGCAAACGGGUGCGGAACACGUACAGAACCUUCCUUUAAGCGGGGGAUAGCCCGGAGAAAUCCGGAUUAAUACCCAUAGUAAUACUGGUUGGCAUCAACUGGUAUUUAAAGAUUUAUCACUUAAAGAUGGCUGUGCGGCUGAUUAGGUAGUUGGUGUAGGUAACGGCUCACCAAGCCUUCGAUCAGUAACUGGUGUGAGAGCACGACCAGUCGCACGGGCACUGAGACACGGGCCCGACUCCUACGGGAGGCAGCAGUAAGGAAUAUUGGGCAAUGGACGCAAGUCUGACCCAGCCAU
rnacentral:rRNA from 1 species